UACGUAGGUGGCAAGCGUUGUCCGGAUUUACUGGGCGUAAAGAGCGCGCAGGCGGUCGUUCAAGUCGCGUGUGAAAGCCCCCGGCUCAACUGGGGAGGGUCACGCGAUACUGAUCGACUGGAAGGCAGGAGAGGGUAGUGGAAUUCCCGGUGUAGUGGUGAAAUGCGUAGAUAUCGGGAGGAACACCAGUGGCGAAGGCGGGUCUCUGGACAGUUCCUGACGCUGAGGAGCGAAAGCGUGGGGAGCGAACAGG
rnacentral:rRNA from 1 species